GACGAACCGUGCGAACGUUGUUCGGAAUCACUGGGCUUAAAGGGGUGCGAGUAGGCGGUCCGAUUAAAGUUCUGGGGUGAAAAGCCCCGUUGCUACCAACGAAACGGAACCUUGACCCUGGAAACUGGCGGACUUGAGUACAGACGGGAGGGUGCGGAAUGGAUGCUGUAGCGGUGAAAUGCAUAGAUAGCAAUCCAGAACCCCCGAUUGCGAAGGCAGACUG
rnacentral:rRNA from 1 species